CUUUGUAGGCCCAAACAGGCCUGAAAAUUAGCCUGAGACAGGCUGCGGCAGUGAUCUAAGAGGCCGUUGGGGGGAGGGGGAACCUUUGCAGACCCCCCCGCUCCACAGCCCUUAGGAAGCCCCCCAAAGAGGCUACAGGUGGACAGCUUGGCUGAAACAUGAGCAGAAGGACUACGGCAGAGUCAGCAUUUGACUUGCUGGCCCUAAAUGAUCAGGAAACCUUAAGGACUGCCUCUUUCUGUAUGUACCUGCUUGGACACUUGGUUCAACACCUGAAGUCCUGUUGAUUGUCCUACAGCCGCCUGGAGCACGGCAGGAGGGGAUGUGAGACAGGGCCUUUUCGACAGCAGCACCUGGAAUGCCCUCCCCAAAGAGGUUCACUCGCUGCCCGCCAUUGGGCAAGUAGUCAAAACCUGUUUUUUUAAAGAAAGCCUUUUGAGUUAAAUUAGCUGUGCUGCUGUAAACUUCUGGCUGUUGUGUUUUUUACUGAUGGAUUGUUUGUAAAUGUUGCUGUUGUGAGCCUUGUUUAGGAUCCUUGAUGGAAAGGUAGGUUAUAAACAUCAAUGGUCACCACUGUCAAAAGAGUGUAAGGCUAGUUGCAAAGCCUGAAUUACUCGGCAGGUGAAGGACCUGUUGUAAUUCCUGUUUUUAGUGUUUUCACCCUAACCUGUGGGGAAGAAAUCCAAACCAGAAGGAGCUCGCAUGCCAAGC